AUUUUUAUAGUUGAAUACAACGGUGGUUUUUCAAAUCAUUAGUCUUGGUUAAAAUCCAGGUAAGAAUA
rnacentral:tRNA from 1 species